GUUUAAUUAGUAUAAUAAGUAUUAUAGACUUCCAAUCUGUAGGUCCUAAAUUUGGGAUUAAACA
rnacentral:tRNA from 1 species